rnacentral:rRNA from 1 species
CAGGCCUAACACAUGCAAGUCGAACGGAAAGGCCCUGCUUUUGUGGGGUGCUCGAGUGGCGAACGGGUGAGUAACACGUGAGUAACCUGCCCUUGACUUUGGGAUAACUUCAGGAAACUGGGGCUAAUACCGGAUAGGAGCUCCUGCUGCAUGGUGGGGGUUGGAAAGUUUCGGCGGUUGGGGAUGGACUCGCGGCUUAUCAGCUUGUUGGUGGGGUAGUGGCUUACCAAGGCUUUGACGGGUAGCCGGCCUGAGAGGGUGACCGGCCACAUUGGGACUGAGAUACGGCCCAGACUCCUACGGGAGGCAGCAGUGGGGAAUAUUGCACAAUGGGCGGAAGCCUGAUGCAGCAACGCCGCGUGCGGGAUGACGGCCUUCGGGUUGUAAACCGCUUUCGCCUGUGACGAAGCGUGAGUGACGGUAAUGGGUAAAGAAGCACCGGCUAACUACGUGCCAGCAGCCGCGGUGAUACGUAGGGUGCGAGCGUUGUCCGGAUUUAUUGGGCGUAAAGGGCUCGUAGGUGGUUGAUCGCGUCGGAAGUGUAAUCUUGGGGCUUAACCCUGAGCGUGCUUUCGAUACGGGUUGACUUGAGGAAGGUAGGGGAGAAUGGAAUUCCUGGUGGAGCGGUGGAAUGCGCAGAUAUCAGGAGGAACACCAGUGGCGAAGGCGGUUCUCUGGGCCUUUCCUGACGCUGAGGAGCGAAAGCGUGGGGAGCGAACAGGCUUAGAUACCCUGGUAGUCCACGCUGUA